rnacentral:rRNA from 1 species
UACAGAGGGGGCAAGCGUUGCUCGGAAUUACUGGGCGUAAAGCGCACGUAGGCGGCUUUGUAAGUUAGAGGUGAAAGCCCGGAGCUCAACUCCGGAAUUGCCUUUAAGACUGCAUCGCUAGAAUUGUGGAGAGGUGAGUGGAAUUCCGAGUGUAGAGGUGAAAUUCGUAGAUAUUCGGAAGAACACCAGUGGCGAAGGCGACUCACUGGCCCGGUACUGACGCUGAGGUGCGAAAGCGUGGGGAGCAAACAGG